AACGUAGGUACCGAGCGUUAUCCGGAUUUACUGGGCGUAAAGCGCGUUCAGGCGGUUUGGCAAGUCGGGCAUGAAAUCUCUCGGCUCAACCGGGAGAGGUUGUCCGAUACUGCUGGACUUGAGGGCAGUAGAGGGUGGUGGAAUUCCGGGUGUAGUGGUGAAAUGCGUAGAUAUCCGGAGGAACACCAGUGGCGAAAGCGGCCACCUGGACUGCACCUGACGCUGACACGCGAAAGCUAGGGGAGCGAACAGG
rnacentral:rRNA from 1 species